rnacentral:lncRNA from 1 species
GUUGGCUACUUAAUAUUUUCCUUCCUUGACGGUAUAACAUUUCUCUUCUAACUGUUGGUUUUAUCAGAUUUAUCUCUUCUCCUUCCGUGAGGUGUUAUAUCUCUGUAAGCUGAUUUGUGUGCUAUCCCAACCCCAGUUCGCAUGAAGGUUAUGAUCACUGUGGUUUGCUUUCUGAAUGGUCUGACCAGAUAUAUCUGUGCGUUG